rnacentral:lncRNA from 1 species
UGGAUGUCUGGCCCAAAGCUGGAGGCUCUGAAAGGGCUGAGAGAUGAUUUGGAAGAUACCAUUUGACUGCUUUUUACUGACGUGACCAUAUGUCUACCCGGAGAUUGGAGACCUUGGACAGCUGGAGAUGUUUAUACUCUUUUCUUCAUCUUGGAACUAUCUAUUUGAUUUAAAGCUGAUCAAGGCCAUGACA